ensembl:lncRNA
AAUACCCACUUAGAAGUGUUGAUGGGUCAAGGCAAAUCCCGAGAGAAAGUGAGAUCUCUAAACUGAACCAAACUAGCAAACAGUGAAAGGGUAAAGGUUUUAGGUAAAACUGGGGACUUAAUGUGGCUAAGGGAAUGGUACGUGCAAAGACUUGGAUGUGGGCAGAGCCUCUGAACAUCUGACAAACUCUGAGGGCUCCAUGGUUUGGAGUCUACAGUAGAAAGGAGAAAAGAAAUAGUAAAAGAUGGGGCUGGAGAGAAAGUAAAGCCAGCUCGUUAACCAUUUAUUAGGUGAAGGAGUUUGGACAUUAACCUGAUGUCAACGAGGAGCAAACAAUUCAGAUUGUGGGAUCAGUGGACACAAUCCCCCUGUCCAGCAGAGCCAGGUCAAUUAACUCCUUUGUUUCAACUCCUCUGUUUGGAGAAUGGCUCUCUCAUUGCUUGUCACUCAGCUUUCUCCCAUGAAAUAUAAUGAAGAAGGAAGUAGCACUGACAAAUUGAAAUUGAAUGGAACUGAGAAUUCAAGGAUCUAUGAUUUGCACCUGGUCCGCUAGUUAAAAUGAAUUUCUCUGUUAUUUGUUGGAGAGACUUAAGUACCACCUGUGAGAAAAGAAAGAAAAAAGGUCAAAUAACAGAAGUAAAGCAAAGAAUAUUUAAAUUGGGACAUAGAAAGAAGACGAUUUUGGAAAGAAAAAAAAGAGUGUGGGGGAGAAGUUGAGAAGGAACGUCAGCACAUCCUGUAAUUCAAGAGGGAGAGGAGAGAAUCUGCGACUUGUUUUUCCUCUUGUAGGCAAAUUACAGUAAAACUUGAAACUAAGAAGUAAGGUGUGGAAAAAGCUGGCAGUGUAAGUGUGUGAAAAGGUAGAAUAAGCUUAAAGAUGGUUUUCUUAUAACAGUUUGGCUACCUGUUGAUUCUCUUCUAACCAAAGAGGUGAAAAAGAUGAGUUGAGAAAAAAAGAUGCACACAGAGAGAGCAUGCAAGUCACCAGAACAUCUAAAGGCAGUCCUUAUCUGAAGACGUUCAGAGGGAAUGGCAGCGGUGGAUCCUUGGGUUAUUUGACAGCUUUGAAGAAACAAACUGGCCUGCUGUCAGUAUCCCCAUGGAGAGGAACUGAGGACAGCCUCUGACUAACAGUCAGGAAGAAAGAUCUUUCUCCAGCAAGAAGCAGCUCUUUCUAAAGUCCCAUCCUCAGAUGAGACUCUAACCCUGAUGGGCACAUUGAUUCCAGCUUUGUGAGAUCCUGAAGCAAAGGACCGAGGUAAGCAGUGCCCAGGAUCCUGACCCACAGAAACUGCAAGAAAAUAAAUGAACAGAAAAUUGAAAAGACGCCAUUGGAAAAUGGAGAAAAUGAAAAAAAUUAUGGAAAAACGUGGCCAGAUGUUGCUAUGCUUUGAUGAUCUAAGGGUCCAGCAGUGGAAGAACCAACCAGAUGUCCAGCUGCUUCGGAUCCUGACGAUGGGCGACACUAGGAAAAAAUAGCAUGAUGACUGACUGAACCUGAAAUUCCUAAACAAACAGUGCCUGCAGCCAAAGCUUCCAGAUAACGCUUUAUUGGAGGGAUUUAAUCCCAGGGAAAACGGAUUGAAAAAUUGGAAAGAAAGGCAGGGAAGAGCAAAUAUAACGUGGUGUGUUAACCAGCUGGCUACAGCUUCCCGAAAAACAUGUCUGCUUUCUCAGUCAAGUGUCAUGUCUCCAGAGACGUAUUAUGGAACCAUUGAGUUUCUGGUUGGCCCUUGUUUCCCUUCUCACUUGUUCAGUCAUCCCAAGGGGCACCGCCUCCCUGGCACUUCCGUGUUCUGUUGCAGCGUUUCCAGGCCCCCGCUGAAGAAGCCAGAGCUUCUGUGCGUGCAGUCUGGUCAGAGAAAGCACAGAAGGCUCUGUUGUCAGCUGGCACUGCCAGUGGGGGCUUCUAGUUCUGUGGCAGCUGGCAGCACUGCGGAAAGCAGCUGUGGCUAUUCGACUACUGGAGUGGCAUGAGACAACAGAAAGAUUGUCCUGGCCUAGAAGUAAGGCAAUUGGCUGAGGCCUGUCAGGAUGGCAGGUAAUCAUAUCUGGAAUAAAGAAUAAACUGAGUCUGGUGUAAUGAUACAACUCAAUCUGCUACCAAUUUACGCUCAAUGCAGAUCACUUUCAAAAUUGAAGGACAUAAUUCAGUGUAACUAAUUUUAAAAGGAAAAAUAAAGGUGUAGGAAGAGAGUUGGUGAAUAUUUGGGAGAGGAGGAAAGAGAAAAUAAAAAUGAACAUUUCAGAUAUCUUGCACUUGUGCUCAGAGUGAAAAUAUUUAUCAUUAUAUUUUGGACGCUGCAAUUUUUCUUCCCCUCUUUUCAAAUGGGGGCCAAGGAAUGUUCCCACAGAAGACGAAUCGGCUAAUCUCACAUCCAGGGGGAACUUUGGCUCAUAAUAUCCCAUGUUCACUUCCCUAUGUGUUAUUUUAUGUCCUACAGACUCAAGAAAUAGGCAGCUUUCACUGUGGGGACCACUUCCUCCUUCUCCUGCCCUGAUUUCUUUCUCGCUCUGCUGUCUCAAAAAAGAAAAUGAAAUAAACUAAAACAGGUACAAUUCCAUAGUUUGUUCUAUUGCUGAUAUCUCUCAAAUUAACAUAUCUUUUAAAAAAUAUUUUCUCUCUUUUUCUUGAUUUGUUUAAGUUUAUAUUGAGUAUAAUGCACAUAUAGAAAAAUGCACAAACCAGAAAUGUACAGCACCGUGAAUCAUCACAAAGCUAAGUAAAACCGAAGACAAAAAAUGAUACUGGCCUCCUGAUAUGGCCCCUGUCAAUCAUUAAUGCUCCUCCACUUUAUAAUUAUAAGUAAUAUAAUAAAGGAAUAAUAUAAUAAAUUUUUUUUAUAUAUUUAUACUAUAUAUGUAUAUAUAAAAGUAUUCAUCAUAAUCCUAGGUUCUAUCACUGUGGAUCAUUUUUGCCAGGAUUGUCUCUUUAUUUGCAUAGAAUCACACCAUUUGCAUUCUUAGUGUCUGGCUUUCUUUACACAGAACUACGUUUGUCAAAUUCAUCUAUGUUUUGCAUGUGUAACUCAUGUGGAGAUAGUAGUCCUUACCAUAGAUAUAUAAUAUUCCAUUGUAUGAAAAUACCAUAAUUUAUAUAUCCAUCCUACGUUUGAUGAAUAUUGGGUGGUUAAGGUUUUUAAUUAUCAUGAAGAAUGCCAUUAUGAAGAAGCUAUACAUGUCAUUUCCUGCAUAUGUGUCUGCAAUUCUGUUGGAUAUAGCCCCAAGAAUAAAAUUUUGGGUUGACAGAGUAUGUAUAUUUUUUAAUUCAGAAGAAAAUGCCAAAGAAUUUCCCACAAUACUUGUAGCAAUUUACACUCUAACCAGAAGAGUAUGAGUUCCCACUGCUUUUGAUAAAACUUGACCUGCAGACUUUUUGGCCGUUUUGCUGCAAGUUUAGUGGUACCCAUAGAGUGGUUUCACAGUGUGAUUAUCUUGCUUUGAACCCAUUUUCGUAACUUUACUGGUCAAUUAGAUAUUCUGGGUUUUGAUGCGCCUCUUCAAGACUUUCCCCCAUUAUUCU